UACGUAGGGUGCAGGCGUUUAAUCGGAAUUACUGGGCGUAAAGCGUGCGUAGGCGGUUUGUUAAGACAGGUGUGAAAUCCCCGGGCUUAACCUGGGAACUGCAUUUGUGACUGCAUUGCUGGAGUGCGGCAGAGGGGGAUGGAAUUCCGCGUGUAGCAGUGAAAUGCGUAGAUAUGCGGAGGAACACCGAUGGCGAAGGCAAUCCCCCUGGGCCUGCACUGACGCUCAUGCACGAAAGCGUGGGGAGCAAACAGG
rnacentral:rRNA from 1 species